UACGGAAGGUCCGGGCGUUAUCCGGAUUUAUUGGGUUUAAAGGGAGCGUAGGCCGCAUGUCAAGCGUGCUGUGAAAUGUCCGGGCUCAACCCGGGCCUUGCAGCGCGAACUGGCGUGCUUGAGUCCGCGGAAAGCAGGCGGAAUUCGUCGUGUAGCGGUGAAAUGCUUAGAUAUGACGAAGAACCCCGAUUGCGAAGGCAGCUUGCUGCAGCGGAACUGACGCUGAUGCUCGAAAGCGCGGGUAUCGAACAGG
rnacentral:rRNA from 1 species